rnacentral:tRNA from 1 species
GAGGAUAUAGCUCAUGGUAGAGCGCGUGCUUAGCAAGCAUGACGUCUUGGGUUCGAUCCCCAGUACUUCCA